CCUACGGGAGGCAGCAGUGGGGGAUAUUGCACAAUGGGGGCAACCCUGAUCCAGCGACGCCGCGUGGGCGAAGACGUAUUUCGGUAUGUAAAGCCCUAUCAGCAGGGAAGUAGAAAUGACGGUACCUGCGUCAGAAGCACCGGCUAAAUACGUGCCAGCAGCCGCGGUAAUACGUAUGGUGCAAGCGUUAUCCGGAUUUACUGGGUGUAAAGGGAGCGCAGGCGGCACGGAAAGCCUGUUGUGAAAGCCCGCGGCCCAACCGCGGGACUGCAUUGGGAACUACCGGGCUGGAGUGCCGGAGGGGUAGGCGGAAUUCAUAGUGUAGCGGUGAAAUGCGUAGAUAUUAGGAGGAACACCAGUGGCGAAGGCG
rnacentral:rRNA from 1 species